rnacentral:lncRNA from 1 species
AAGGUACAAUAAGAUGAUCAUAUAAUGGAUGAUAAUUUCAAUACGUAAUAGACACCAGACGUGUGGCACCUCCAAUGCCUAUUUACAAUAUUGGACUCAUUAUCAUGCACUUUAAUGGGGGGCUAUGAACAAGUUAUCACUAUAACGGUAUCAUUUUAUAGACCUAAUAAUUUAGAAAAUUUGAUUUUAUUGAUCUGAGAAUAAGAGAAGAAGUUGACCUGCAAGUUGUAAAUCUUUCUACUGACAUUACCAAGUCAUGUAGAGAAUUAGACACAAGCUGGUCUAAAGACA